AUGGCGUCUGACUUCGAAUCAGAAGAUGAGGGUUCGAGUCCCUCUGUGGUCU
rfam:Ciona savignyi cont_64298, whole genome shotgun sequence.